GGGUAUUCCACGCUAGCAACUAGUCUCACAAGGGAUACUCCUGAUGGCUCCUUAGCGUUCCAGGUGCGCCCCCAGCAACGUCAUUGUUAAGGGUUGCUUUAGGCUGGCGCCUAGCGAGCUUCAGUCUUCAUAAAGUAUCCCCCUCUUAUGGGGUGUCGCCGUACACACCGUUAGUCCCGCGCCUCUACCGGCUGUCGGACUCCUACCAUGCCCUCCGGUGGAUGUUGAGGAAGUGGGGGAAUCAGGAGGCUACGAAGCCGUCGCAGCAAAGGCGACCGUGUGUACAACCAACCCGGCCAGAAAUAUACCCCGAAAGGGGGGGUCCUGCGGCUGGGUCCCCUUUCCAAUGGCAAUGCCAUUUUCCUGGGGGGAGAUGCGUCUCCCCCUCCUAGGACCC
rnacentral:misc_RNA from 1 species